AGUGAACGCUGGCGGUAGGCCUAACACAUGCAAGUCGAACGGCAGCACAGUAAGAGCUUGCUCUUACGGGUGGCGAGUGGUGGACGGGUGAGGAAUACAUCGGAAUCUACUUUUUCGUGGGGGAUAACGUAGGGAAACUUACGCUAAUACCGCAUACGACCUACGGGUGAAAGCAGGGGAUCUUCGGACCUUGCGCGAUUGAAUGAGCCGAUGUCGGAUUAGCUAGUUGGCGGGGUAAAGGCCCACCAAGGCGACGAUCCGUAGCUGGUCUGAGAGGAUGAUGAGCCACACUGGAACUGAGACACGGUCCAGACUCCUACGGGAGGCAGCAGUGGGGAAUAUUGGACAAUGGGCGCAAGCCUGAUCCAGCCAUACCGCGUGGGUGAAGAAGGCCUUCGGGUUGUAAAGCCCUUUUGUUGGGAAAGAAAAGCAGCAGGUUAAUACCCCGCUGUUCUGACGGUACCCAAAGAAUAAGCACCGGCUAACUUCGUG
rnacentral:rRNA from 1 species